GGAGAGAGCAGGAGGUCAGAGGAGGGAGCAGGAGGUCAGAGGAGGGAGCAGGAGGUCAGAUGGUGAGAGCAGGAGGUCAGAGGAGGGAGCAGGAGGUCAGAUGGAUAGAGCAGGAGGUCAGAUGGAGAGAGCAGGAGGUCAGAGGAGGGAGCAGGAGGUCAGAGGAGGGAGCAGGAAGCCAGAGGAGGGAGCAGAAGGCCAGAGAAGGGAGAAGGAGGUCAGAGGAGGGAGCAGGAGGUCAGAUGGAGAGAGCAGGAGGUCAGAGGAGGGAGCAGGAAGUCAGAAGAGGGAGCAGGAAGUCA